UACGAAGGGGGCUAGCGUUGCUCGGAAUUACUGGGCGUAAAGCGCACGUAGGCGGUUUCUUAAGUCGGGGGUGAAAUCCUGGAGCUCAACUCCAGAACUGCCCUUCGAUACUGAGAGACUUGAGUCCGGGAGAGGUGAGUGGAACUGCGAGUGUAGAGGUGAAAUUCGAUGUAAGAUUCGCAAGAACACCAGUGGCGAAGGCGGCUCACUGGCCCAUUACUGACGCUGAGGCACGAAAGCGUGGGGAGCAAACAGGG
rnacentral:rRNA from 1 species